UAUUGUAUGUGUUUCAGAAGUUCAUAUAUUCCCUGGGUCAAACCACGUCAAGUGGUCCAUGAAAAUUUCGAAAAAUCUCCGAUUUUGAAAAUUAGCAGUUCACCAGGAAGGGGACCAGCCUCAUACCCUGUGGUAUAAAUAUUUCGUCAAAAUCCUUUUUUUUUGUUAAAGUUAUUGAAGGUUGAAAUUUAGAGCACGAUAAAAUUGUAAAAUUAUUUUCUUAUAAACUACUGGAGAUAAAUCGAUGAAUUUUUGUGAAGUCAAAUAAAAAUGUUCGUGCUAUGUUAUAAAUAUUUUUUCAUGGUCCCGACAUCCAUAGUGAGUUCAGUGGAAUCAUCUGACUUAUGUCCACAUUAGUAAAACCUAGGGUGUACUUACCAUUUGGCAUAAAACGUUGACAACAGGCACCAAUUUAUCCAAUGGCAUAUGGCAAUCCUAACUUACCAUUGAAUUUCAAGACCAAAUAUUAAGGUACAGUUACUAGUUCGUAAUAGUUUCGACUUUAUAACGGCAUUCAAACCUUAUACAAACUUGAUUUUUUAUUUCACUUGAAUUCUGAUACAUUAUCAAAUAUUGUUUACAAAUUCUGAAAGAGCUGAUAUA